rnacentral:rRNA from 1 species
CCUACGGGAGGCAGCAGUAAGGAAUAUUGGGCAAUGGACGCAAGUCUGACCCAGCCAUGCCGCGUGAAGGAAGACGGCCCUAUGGGUUGUAAACUUCUUUUCUCAGGGGGUAAACUCUGGAACGUGUUCCGGACUGAAAGUACCUGAGGAAUAAGCAUCGGCUAACUCCGUGCCAGCAGCCGCGGUAAUACGUAGGUUGCAAGCGUUAUCCGGAAUUAUUGGGCGUAAAGGGUGCGUAGGCGGUUACGUGUGUCUAAGGUGAAAUUCCAGGGCUUAACUCUGGACUGCCUUAGAAACUGCGUGACUAGAGUGCAGGAGAGGGCAACGGAAUUCCAUGUGUAGCGGUAAAAUGCGUAGAUAUAUGGAGGAACACCGGUGGCGAAGGCGGUUGCCUGGCCUGUAACUGACGCUGAGGCACGAAAGCGUGGGGAGCAAAUAGGAUUAGAUACCCUAGUAGUCCACGCUGUAAACGAUGAAUGCUAAGUGUUGGAGUAAAAUUCAGUGCUGCAGUUAACGCAAUAAGCAUUCCGCCUGGGGAGUACGCACGCAAGUGUGAAACUCAAAGGAAUUGACGG